UACGGGGGGGGCAAGCGUUGUUCGGAAUUACUGGGCGUAAAGGGCUCGUAGGCGGCCAACUAAGUCGGAUGUGAAAUCCCCAGGCUCAACCUGGGAACUGCAUCCGAUACUGGAUGGCUUGAAUUCGGGAGAGGGAUGCAGAAUUCCAGGUGUAGCGGUGAAAUGCGUAGAUAUCGUAAGGAAGACCAGUGGCGAAGGCGGGUCUCUGGACAGCUCCUGACGCUGAGGCACGAAGGCCAGGGGAGCAAACGGG
rnacentral:rRNA from 1 species